rnacentral:lncRNA from 1 species
UUUCAUGGAGCUGUUAAAUUUUCUUCCAAUGUCGAAUAAAUCAUCUAAUAGCCUUUCCUUAGUGUCCUUUUCAUAUUGCUCUCUCUCUCUCUCUCUCUCUCUCUCUUAUAUAUAUAUAUAUAUUGUUUUUCAUGGAGCUGUUAAAUUUUCUUCCUAUGUCGAUUAAAUCAUCUAAUAGCCUUUCCAUAGUGUCCUUUUCAUAUUGCUCUCU